rnacentral:lncRNA from 1 species
UUAUUCUAAAGUAGUUGUUUGUUUACUAAUUUCCGUGUAAUAUUCUAUUCUAAUUGUACUAUAAUUUAUAUCUGAAUUAAGGUUAUUAAUGUUAUUAAUUAUCUCUCUUUCUUCUUCUCUUAAUGAGUUUUUUAUGUUAUAUAAACUAUUAUCUCUACUUUUUUCUAAAUUUUCUAAGGUUUCUUUUAUCCAUAUUAAUUUUUCUUUUAGAUUUU